rnacentral:rRNA from 1 species
UACGAAGGGGGCUAGCGUUGCUCGGAAUCACUGGGCGUAAAGGGUGCGUAGGCGGUUCUUAAGUCAGGGGUGAAAUCCUGGAGCUCAACUCCAGAACUGCCUUUGAUACUGAAGAUCUUGAGUUCGGGAGAGGUGAGUGGAACUGCGAGUGUAGAGGUGAAAUUCGUAGAUAUUCGCAAGAACACCAGUGGCGAAGGCGGCUCAUUGGCCCGAUACUGACGCUGAGCACGAAAGCGUGGGAGCAAACAGG